UAUUAUAUGGACUAUUAAUAUAUUUUACCAAUAUCUUUCAAAACGAAUUAAGAUCUAUUCUACAUAGCCCCACUCCUAUCUAUGCAGUAUCUUUGCAAACACUCAAUUGAUACCUAUCUAAGAAUUAUCUAACAAAACUCUACAAAAAUUACGAUCCCUCUAACCUAUCUUAUUAAUCAAUUGUCACAGUAUCUGUUAUUAGUUCCAUCGAUUUUGGUUCCAACUGCAAAUCUUCAUCCUCCU
rnacentral:lncRNA from 1 species